rnacentral:rRNA from 1 species
CCCCUACCAAAUCCUGACAAACUCCGAAUGCUAUAAGAUAUGAUCAGCAGUGAGGGCAUGGGUGCUAAGGUCCGUGACCGAGAGGGAAAGAACCCAGACCAUCAGCUAAGGUCCCCAAAUAUACACUAAGUUGAACUAACGUUGUGCGGUUGCAUAGACAGCUAGGAUGUUGGCUUGGAAGCAGCCAUUCAUUUAAAGAGUGCGUAACAGCUCACUAGUCGAGCGAUCGUGCGUGGAUAAUAACCGGGCAUUAAGUGUAUUACCGAAGCUAUGGAUUUCAUAGUAAUAUGAUCUGGUAGGGGAGCAUUCUAUUCAGCGUUGAAGGUGCAUGGUGAUGUGUGCUGGAGCGGAUAGAAAAGCAAAUGUAGGAAUAAGUAACGAUAAUGCAGGCGAGAAACCUGCACACCGAUAGACUAAGGUUUCCUGAGCGACGCUAAUCGUCUCAGGGUUAGUCGGGACCUAACGCGAACCCGAAGGGGGUAGUGGAUGGAUAAUGGGUUAAUAUUCCCAUACUUGUUAUAACUGCGAUGGGGUGACGGAGUGAUGAAAGAACCGCGGACUGACGGAAUAGUUCGUUAAAGCCAGUAACUAUAGGACCUGUAGGCAAAUCCGCAGGUCUUGGUGAAGGUGAUAGUACCAAGAGGCUUCGGCCAAUUGGAUAGUGUUCCUAAGGGCUUCCAAGAAAAACCUCUAAGCUUCAGGUUAUAGCAACUCGUACCGCAAACCGACACAGGUAGUCAAGGAGAGAAUCCUAAGGUGCUCGAGUGAAUCAUGGCUAAGGAACUAGGCAAAAUGGUCUCGUAACUUCGGGAGAAGAGACGCCAACAGCAAUGUUGGCCGCAGUAAAUAGGCCCAGGCAACUGUUUAUCAAAAACACAUGGCUUUGCAAAAUCGAAAGAUGACGUAUAAGGCCUGACACCUGCCCGGUGCUGGAAGGUUAAGAGGAGAUGUUAGUUUCGGCGAAGCAUUGAAUUGAAGCCCCAGUAAACGGCGGCCGUAACUAUAACGGUCCUAAGGUAGCGAAAUUCCUUGUCGGGUAAGUUCCGACCUGCACGAAUGGUGUAAUGAUCUGGGUACUGUCUCAGCCAUGAGCUCGGUGAAAUUGUAGUAUCGGUGAAGAUGCCGAUUACCCGCAACGGGACGAAAAGACCCCGUGAACCUUUACUAUAGCUUCACAUUGACAUUGGGUAAUUCAUGUGUAGGAUAGGUGGGAGACGUUGAGGCUGCUUCGCCAGGUGUAGUUUAGUCGUCCUUGAAAUACCACCCUUGAAUUAUCUGAUGUCUAACGCUUACUAGUCGUAAGCGAACAUUGUGUGGUGGGUAGUUUGACUGGGGUGGUCGCCUCCG